AUGUUUUUAUGCCCUAAUACAUGGUCAAUUUUUGUGAAUGUACCAUGUGCUGCUGAAAAGAAGGUAUAUUCCUUUUUGUCCCUAUUUAUUUUUCUCCACAUGUCUACUAACUCUAAUUUUUCUAAGAUUUCAUUCACUUCUCUUACCUCUUUCUUAUUUAUUUUUGUAAGAUUUCAUUCACUUCUUUUACCUCUUUCUUAUUUAUUUUUUGGUUUGAUUUAUCUAAAUUUGAUAAUGGUUGGUUCAAGUCUCCCACUAAUAUGGUUUUGCUGUCUAUUUCUUCCUUCAAUUCUCCUAGUUUCUCCAUUAGAAAUUUUGGUGCUAUAUUAUUUGGUGCAUACAUGUUGAUUAGUGAUAUUUCCUCAUUAUCUAAGGUCCCUUUUAACAAAAUAUAAUUACCUCCCCUAUCCCUUUUAAUCAGGUCUAUUUUUGCUUUGGCUUUAUCAGAUAUCAUGAUUGCAACUCCUGCCUUCUUUCUAUCAGUUGAGGCCCAGAAGGUCUUACUCCAUCCUUUAAUUCUGACCUUGUGGGUGUUUACCCUCCUCAUGUGUGUUUCUUGAAGACAACAUAUGGUAGGGUUUUGGAUUCUAACCCAUUCUGCUAUUCGUCUACUUUUUAUGGGUGAGUUCAUCCCAUUCACGUUCAAAGUUAUGAUUGUCACUGGUGGACUCCCUGGCAUUUUGAUAUCCUUCCCUAAUUCUAACCUUUCUUCUUUAGCUCUAACCUUUUAAUCCAGUGAUUUACUUUAAAUCAGUCCCCCUUGUCCCCUCCCUUGAUAUGUUUUCCUUUCUAGCCCCUCCCUUUUAGAUUCCCUUUUCCCCCUCUCCUUCCCUCCCUUUUUGUGUUACCUUCCCCUCCCAGCCCCCUUGGUUUUCCGUUCUCCCUACCUUUGUUAGGUAAGAUAAAAUUUAAGAUCCCAAUGGAUCUGGAUGUUUUUCCCUCUCAGAGUUGAUUUCCCUGAGGGUUAGGUCUAAGUAAAAACUCUCUUCCUCUCCUUCUUAUAGGAGUUUUCUUCCCCUCCCCUUCCC
rnacentral:lncRNA from 1 species